rnacentral:rRNA from 1 species
GCUAAGUACGUGUCAGCGGCCGGUGUAAUACGUAGGGGGGCAGGUUUGUGCCGAUGUAUUGGGCGUAAAGAGCUGGUAGGCGGCCUGGAAGGGCAGCGGUGAAAACCCGAGGCUCAACCCAGGGACUGCGGUUGAAACCAGCUGGCUUGAGUGCGGAAGAGGUGUGUGGAAUUCCCGGUGUAGCGGUGAAAUGCGCAGAUAUCGGGAAGAACACCAGUGGCGAAGGCGGCACACUGGGACGGUACUGACGCUGAGACGCGAAAGCGUGGGGAGCGAACAGGAUUAGAUACCCUGGUAGUC